rnacentral:lncRNA from 1 species
UCUUUUUUUCUCUUUUCAUUUCCUCUCUCAUUUUCAAUUUUAUUUUCGACCUCACUCUCUUUUUGGAUUUCUUUUUCUUUUUCAAUAUUUUCUUCUUUUCUUUCGAUUUCUCCUUCUCGCUUGCACUCUUGUUCAAUCUCAAUUUCUUUUUCGAAUUCUUUCUCUUCAUUUUCUUUUUCUCUCACUUUUUUGAUUUCUUGUUCCUUUUCUUUCAUUUCUUUUUUUUGUCUCUCGAUUUCAUUCCAUAUAUGCUCAUUUUCUCUCAUCAACAUUUCUUGUCUUUCUUUUCUUCUUAUUUCUUUUUCUUUUUGCCUCGCUCUUUCAUUAUAGGAUGGAGAUGUUGCAAAUGAAUCAGUAUAAAAUGACUCUCGUUGGGUAUAAUUAGAACGACUUUCAUACAAAAAAUGAUCACCUCUUCGAGAUUGAUUCUUGGCGGACAAAUACCUUGGUGCAUAUGAAGGACUACUUGUGAUUCCUCGUUCGUCACCUUGAAAAGCUUCAAACUCAAAACUUGCUUUGCUUCGUCUU